GUCGGUUUAAUGAUUUAUUACUUGAUAAACACACAUGAGUUAAUUGUUUGUUCAUUGUUUUCAGACGAAGCAGUCUCAGGAGCUUUCUGAUCAACUACAGAAGGAGCGGAAAGAGUUUGAGCAGAAGUUCACUAAGGAGCAGGGAGCGAUGCGUGAACAGCUACAGGUUCACAUUCAGACCAUCGGCAUCCUGGUGUCUGAGAAAUCAGAGCUACAGACGGCUCUGUCUUACACACAGCAGGCAGCGCGACACAAGACAGGUGUGUGUGAGCUUGAGUGUGAGAGAGAGAGAGAGAGAGAGUGUGUGUGUGUGUGUGUGUGAGAGCGCGCGUGUGUAGAGAGAGAGAGAGUGUGUGUGUGUGUGUGUGUGUGAGAGAGAGAGAGAGAGAGUGUGUGUGUGUGUGAGAGCGCGCGUGUGUGCGCGUGUGUGAGAGCGCGCGUGUGUGCGCGUGUGUGAGAGCGCGCGUGUGUGUGAGAGAGCGCGUAUGUGUGAGAGAGCGCGUGUGUGUGAGAGAGCGCGUGUGUGUGUGAGAGCGCGCGUGUGUGUGUGAGAGCGCGCGCGUGUGUGUGAGAGCGCGCGUGUGUGUGAGAGCGCGCGUGUGUGUGAGAGAGCGCGUGUGUGUGAGAGAGCGCGUGUG
rnacentral:lncRNA from 1 species